CCUACGGGGGGCAGCAGUGAGGAAUAUUGGUCAAUGGACGAGAGUCUGGACCAGCCAAGUAGCGUGAAGGAUGACUGCCCUAUGGAUUGUAAACCUCUUUUGUCGGGGAACAAAGGCGCCCACGGGUGGGCGGAUGAGUGUACCCGAAGAAAAAGCAUCGGCUAACUCCGUGCCAGCAGCCGCGGUAAUACGGAGGAUGCGAGCGUUAUCCGGAUUUAUUGGGUUUAAAGGGUUCGUAGGCGGAAAAUCAAGUCAGCGGUAAAAAUGCGGUGCUCAACGCCGUACAGCCGUUGAAACUGGCAGUCUUGAGUGGGCGAGAAGUAUGCGGAAUGCGUGGUGUAGCGGUGAAAUGCAUAGAUAUCACGCAGAACUCCGAUUGCGAAGGCAGCAUACCGGCGCCCGACUGACGCUGAGGCACGAAAGCGUGGGUAUCGAACAGGAUUAGAUACCCUUGUAGUC
rnacentral:rRNA from 1 species